UUUAGUUUAGUUUAUAAAAAACAAUUGCUUGUCGAGCUUUAAAUACAAAUUAUUUUGUAACUAAAU
rnacentral:tRNA from 1 species